rnacentral:rRNA from 1 species
GACGAACGCUGGCGGCGUGCUUAACACAUGCAAGUCGAACGAAGUGGCGAACGGGUGAGUAAUACGUGGGUAACCUGCCCUCCUUUUUGGGAUAAGCCUUGGAAACGGGGUCUAAUACCGAAUCAAGGGGGAUGGGCUGGCGGCCUAUCAGCUUGUUGGUGGGGUGAUGGCCUACCAAGGCGGUGACGGGUAGCCGGCCUGAGAGGGGGACCGGCCACAUUGGGACUGAGAUACGGCCCAGACUCCUACGGGAGGCAGCAGUGGGGGAAAGUGCACACUGGGCGAAAGCCUGAUGCAGCGACGCCGCGGGGGGGAUGACGGCCUUCGGGUUGUGAAGCUCUGUUAAUCGGGACGCGGUACCGGAAUAGAAAGCCACGGCUAACUACGUGCCAGCAGCCGCGGUAAUAC